UGAACGCACCAUUGGUUCUGCCAUCAAUGGCUCUUCCUCCCCCAAGGAAGUCAUCCAAGCUUCUUUUCAGGCGGCCAUUGACGAAAUCCAAGCUGCCUUCCACCUGUCCAACAACGUAAGUUUGAAGGCGAAUGACCCGAUGAACAAGGCUGCGUUCAACAUUUGCCGGCAGCUCCUCGAGGAUGCCGAUGAGGAGCUCAAUGCUGCCUUCUCGGAGACUCAUGACCUUCAGGGUCUGGCGAGGAGGACCGAUGACAUCAAGACAUGGCUCUCGGCCGUCAUCUCCUACCAGCAGACCUGUCUCGAUGGCAUCACCGAACCGGAGCUCCAGUCCACCAUGAAGGACGGUCUAAGCACGGCCACAAAGGUCACCAGCAAUGCCAUUGCCAUUGUCGAUGAGCUUAGUUCAUUAUUAAAGUCCUUCAAGAUCCCGAUUAACAUAACCAUGGGCAGUCGACGCUUACUGGUCGAUGAGCAAGGGUACCCUUCGUGGUUCUCGGGCCAUGACAGGAAGCUCCUGGCUGCCCAAGCGCGAGGCCAGCUGACCCCUAAUGUGGUGGUUGCUAAGGAUGGGAGUGGAAAGUUCAAGACGAUCAACGAUGCCGUUAAUGCCAUGCCAAAGGAUUACUCUGGGCGGUAC
rnacentral:lncRNA from 1 species